rnacentral:rRNA from 1 species
UACGUAGGGUGCGAGCGUUGUCCGGAAUUAUUGGGCGUAAAGAGCUUGUAGGCGGUCUGUCGCGUCUGCUGUGAAAAUCCGGGGCUCAACCCCGGACUUGCAGUGGGUACGGGCAGACUAGAGGGUGGUAGGGGAGACUGGAAUUCCUGGUGUAGCGGUGAAAUGCGCAGAUAUCAGGAGGAACACCGAUGGCGAAGGCAGGUCUCUGGGCCGCUACUGACGCUGAGAAGCGAAAGCAUGGGGAGCGAACAGG